rnacentral:rRNA from 1 species
UACAGAGGGUGCGAGCGUUAAUCGGAAUUACUGGGCGUAAAGCGUGCGUAGACGGCUAUCUAAGUCGGGUGUGAAAGCCCCGGGCUCAACCUGGGAAUUGCAUUCGAGACUGCGUGGCUAGGGUGCGGAAGAGGGAAGCGGAAUUUCCGGUGUAGCGGUGAAAUGCGUAGAUAUCGGAAGGAACACCAGUGGCGAAGGCGGUGGUCUGGGCCGGAACUGACGCUGAGGAGCGAAAGCGUGGGGAGCGAACAGG